GGGGAAUAUUGCACAAUGGGCGCAAGCCUGAUGCAGCCAUGCCGCGUGUGUGAAGAAGGCCUUCGGGUUGUAAAGCACUUUCAGCGGGGAGGAAGGCGGUGAGGUUAAUAACCUUGUCGAUUGACGUUACCCGCAGAAGAAGCACCGGCUAACUCCGUGCCAGCAGCCGCGGUAAUACGGAGGGUGCAAGCGUUAAUCGGAAUUACUGGGCGUAAAGCGCACGCAGGCGGUCUGUCAAGUCGGAUGUGAAAUCCCCGGGCUCAACCUGGGAACUGCAUUCGAAACUGGCAGGCUAGAGUCUUGUAGAGGGGGGUAGAAUUCCAGGUGUAGCGGUGAAAUGCGUAGAGAUCUGGAGGAAUACCGGUGGCGAAGGCGGCCCC
rnacentral:rRNA from 1 species